AUCGAUGAAGAACGCAGCGAAAUGCGAUAAGUAAUGUGAAUUGCAGAAUUCAGUGAAUCAUCGAAUCUUUGAACGCACAUUGCGCCCUCUGGUAUUCCGGGGGGCAUGCCUGUUCGAGCGUCAUUACAACCCUCAAGCUCUGCUUGGUAUUGGGCGUCACCACUCGUGGUGUGCCUUAAAAUCAGUGGCGGUGCCAUUCGGCUUCAAGCGUAGUAAUUCUUCUCGCUUCUGGAGUCCGGGUGUGUGCUUGCCAGCAACUCCCAAUUUUUUUAAGGUUGACCUCGGAUCAGGUAGGGAUACCCGCUGAACUUAAGCAUAUCAAUAAGCGGAGGAAAAGAAACCAACAGGGAUUGCCUCAGUAACGGCGAGUGAAGCGGCAACAGCUCAAAUUUGAAAUCUGGCCUCACGGUCCGAGUUGUAAUUUGUAGAGGAUGUUUCGAGUGUGGUCCGGUCUAAGUUCCUUGGAACAGGACGUCAUAGAGGGUGAGAAUCCCGUAUGCGACUGGGUGCCUAAUCUCAUGUGAAACUCCUUCGACGAGUCGAGUUGUUUGGGAAUGCAGCUCAAAAUGGGUGGUAAAUUUCAUCUAAAGCUAAAUACUGGCCAGAGACCGAUAGCGCACAAGUAGAGUGAUCGAAAGAUGAAAAGCACUUUGGAAAGAGAGUUAAACAGUACGUGAAAUUGUUGAAAGGGAAGCGCUUGCAACCAGACUUGCACGCAGUCGAUCAUCCGAUGUUUUCACCGGUGCACUCGAUUGUGUUCAGGCCAGCAUCGGUUUUGGUGGUGGGAUAAAGGCCUUGGGAAUGUAGCUUCUUUCGGGGAGUGUUAUAGCCCUCGGUGCAAUGCCGCCUACUGGGACCGAGGACCGCGCUUCGGCUAGGAUGCUGGCGUAAUGGUUGUAAGCGACCCGUCUUGAAACACGG
rnacentral:rRNA from 1 species